GAGUUUGAUCUUGGCUCAGAUUGAACGCUGGCGGCAGGCCUAACACAUGCAAGUCGAGCGGAUGAAGGGAGCUUGCUCCUGGAUUCAGCGGCGGACGGGUGAGUAAUGCCUAGGAAUCUGCCUGGUAGUGGGGAUAACGUCCGGAAACGGGCGCUAAUACCGCAUACGUCCUGAGGGAGAAAGUGGGGAUCUUCGGACCUCACGCUACCAGACGAGCCUAGGUCGGAUUAGCUAGUUGGUGGGGUAAAGGCCUACCAAGGCGACGAUCCGUAACUGGUCUGAGAGGAUGAUCAGUCACACUGGAACUGAGACACGGUCCAGACUCCUACGGGAGGCAGCAGUGGGGAAUAUUGGACAAUGGGCGAAAGCCUGAUCCAGCCAUGCCGCGUGUGAAGAAGGUCUUCGGAUUGUAAAGCACUUUAAGUUGGGAGGAAGGGCAGUAAGUUAAUACCUUGCUGUUUUGACGUUACCAACAGAAUAAGCACCGGCUAACUUCGUGCCAGCAGCCGCCGCGGUAAC
rnacentral:rRNA from 1 species